rnacentral:rRNA from 1 species
AUUGAACGCUGGCGGCAUGCCUUACACAUGCAAGUCGAACGGUAACGCGGGGCAACCUGGCGACGAGUGGCGAACGGGUGAGUAAUGUAUCGGAACGUGCCCAGUUGUGGGGGAUAACUGCUCGAAAGAGCAGCUAAUACCGCAUACGACCUGAGGGUGAAAGCGGGGGAUCGCAAGACCUCGCGCAAUUGGAGCGGCCGAUAUCAGAUUAGGUAGUUGGUGGGGUAAAGGCUCACCAAGCCGACGAUCUGUAGCUGGUCUGAGAGGACGACCAGCCACACUGGGACUGAGACACGGCCCAGACUCCUACGGGAGGCAGCAGUGGGGAAUUUUGGACAAUGGACGCAAGUCUGAUCCAGCCAUGCCGCGUGCGGGAAGAAGGCCUUCGGGUUGUAAACCGCUUUUGUCAGGGAAGAAAAGGCUCCUUCUAAUAUAGGGGGCUCAUGACGGUACCUGAAGAAUAAGCACCGGCUAACUACGUGCCAGCCGCCGCCGUAA